GGGAUGAUAGCUUAGUAGGAAAAGCAAUAGGUUGAAGCUCUAUGGAUGUACGUUCGAAUCGUGCUUGUCCCA
rnacentral:tRNA from 1 species